rfam:Oryza glumipatula chromosome 12, whole genome shotgun sequence.
UUUAGGAGUAACUAUAAAUUUUUUUAUCUAAUUUUGAUCAUCCGUCUUAUUUAAAAAAAUUAUUAUUAUUAUUUUUUAUGAGAUGAUAAAACAUAAAUAAUACUUUAUUCGUAACUUAUAUUUUUAAUUUUUUUUAAAUAAGACGAACGAUCAAAAUUGGACGCGGAAAGCUAUUGUUGUACUUAAA